UUUUCAUGAUGAGGAAAGAAAUCGAUUGCGUCUGAUGUACUGGAUGUGAAAUUCCUCCUACUCAUUCUGA
rnacentral:snoRNA from 1 species